CUAUAUCACAUUGAAACACCAGUUCUCAUAUGAUCACAAAAGUUAAGCAACAUCCAGCCUGAUCAGUACCUAGAUAGGUGAUCACUCAGGAAUACUAGUAGCUGUA